UCUUUUGCCCCCCAAUUUUUGUGGGGGGGGCGUUUUUCCCCGCUUAGGGGUGACCCGCCUAAAGGGAUGGGCAGCCGGCAUUUUUGUUUUGGAGCGCAGCACAUUUGCGCUUCUCCCCUGUAUUNCAGCGUCCAUUAAGCUUUUUAUUUUCUUUUGCCCUCGGAUCAGGUAGGGAUCCCCGCUGAACUUAAGCAUAUCUAUAAGCGGAGGAAAAGAAACCAACAGGGAUUGCCCUAGUAACGGCGAGUGAAGCGGCAACAGCUCAAAUUUGAAAUCUGGCUCUUUUAGGGUCCGAGUUGUAAUUUGCAGAGGGCGCUUUGGCGUUGGCAGCGGUCCAAGUUCCUUGGAACAGGACGUCACAGAGGGUGAGAAUCCCGUACGUGGUCGCUGGCCUUCGCCGUGUAAAGCCCCUUCGACGAGUCGAGUUGUUUGGGAAUGCAGCUCUAAAUGGGAGGUAAAUUUCUUCUAAAGCUAAAUACUGGCCAGAGACCGAUAGCGCACAAGUAGAGUGAUCGAAAGAUGAAAAGCACUUUGGAAAGAGAGUCAAAUAGCACGUGAAAUUGUUGAAAGGGAAGCGCUUGCAGCCAGACUUGCCUGUAGUUGCUCAUCCGGGCUUUUGCCCGGUGCACUCUUCUGCGGGCAGGCCAGCAUCAGUUUGGGCGGUUGGAUAAAGGUCUCUGUCAUGUACCUCUCUUCGGGGAGGCCUUAUAGGGGAGACGACAUGCAACCAGCCUGGACUGAGGUCCGCGCAUUUGCUAGGAUGCUGGCGUAAUGGCUGUAAGCGGCCCGUCUUGAAACACGGACCAAGGAGUCUAACAUCUAUGCGAGUGUUUGGGUGUCAAGCCCGAGCGCGUAAUGAAAGUGAACGGAGGUGGGACCCCAUUAGGGUGCACCAUCGACCGAUCCUGAUGUCUUCGGAUGGAUUUGAGUAAGAGCAUGGCUGUUGGGACCCGAAAGAUGGUGAACUAUGCUUGANUAGGGUGAAGCCAGAGGAAACUCUGGUGGAGGCUCGCAGCGNUUCUGACGUGCAAAUCGAUCGUCAAAUUUGGGCAUAGGGGGCGAAAGACUAAUCGAACUAUCUAGUAGCUGGUUCCUGCGAU
rnacentral:rRNA from 1 species